GACGAAGGGGGCUAGCGUUGUUCGGAAUUACUGGGCGUAAAGCGAGUGUAGGUGGUUGUCGUAGUCAGGUGUGAAAGCCUUGAGCUCAACUCAAGAAAUGCACUUGAUACUGGAUGACUAGAGGACCGGAGAGGAUAGUGGAAUUCCCAGUGUAGUGGUGAAAUACGUAGAGAUUGGGAAGAACACCAGUGGCGAAGGCGGCUAUCUGGACGGUUUCUGACACUAAGACUCGAAAGCGUGGGGAGCAAACAGG
rnacentral:rRNA from 1 species